rnacentral:rRNA from 1 species
AUACAGAGGGUGCGAGCGUUAAUCGGAAUUACUGGGCGUAAAGCGCGCGUAGGCGGCUUUGUAAGUCGGAUGUGAAAGCCCAGGGCUCAACCCUGGAAUUGCAUUCGAUACUGCAUAGCUAGAGUAUGGUAGAGGGAAGUGGAAUUUCCGGUGUAGCGGUGAAAUGCGUAGAUAUCGGAAGGAACACCAGUGGCGAAGGCGGCUUUCUGGACGGAUUCUGACGCUGAGACGCGAAAGCGUGGGGAGCAAACAGGAUUAGAAACCCCGGUAGUCC